CCUACGGGUGGCUGCAGUGGGGAAUAUUGGACAAUGGGGGCAACCCUGAUCCAGCCAUGCCGCGUGUGUGAAGAAGGCCCUCGGGUUGUAAAGCACUUUCAGUGAGGAAGAACGCCUGGUGGUUAAUACCCAUCAGGAAAGACAUCACUCACAGAAGAAGCACCGGCUAACUCCGUGCCAGCAGCCGCGGUAAUACAGAGGGUGCGAGCGUUAAUCGGAAUUACUGGGCGUAAAGCGCGCGUAGGUGGCUUGAUAAGCCGGUUGUGAAAGCCCCGGGCUCAACCUGGGAACGGCAUCCGGAACUGUCAAGCUAGAGUGCAGGAGAGGAAGGUAGAAUUCCCGGUGUAGCGGUGAAAUGCGUAGAGAUCGGGAGGAAUACCAGUGGCGAAGGCGGCCUUCUGGACUGACACUGACACUGAGGUGCGAAAGCGUGGGUAGCAAACAGGAUUAGAUACCCCUGUAGUC
rnacentral:rRNA from 1 species